UGGGACUGGUGAACGGCGACCUACCGAGCAACGGAACUGCAAUCAGGUUGAUGCAAUAACCGCCCUGGGCCAUAAAGGAAAAUGGUGAAGUACAAACUGCAGACUUAUGAAGACACAGAGAAGCUGGUGGAGGUGACAAAGAAAACAAAGAAGAGAGAAGGUGACGGACGGAAUGAGGGGAUGUCAGUUGAUGAUUAAAAUGAAGCUAAGGAACAGAAGUCGAGGGGGCAGAAGCCUUUGCCUGCGUGACAUAUGCUCUCAUGGCAGCCAGUGUCGCAGAAAUCGAUGCCGCCCCUCUGCCGCCAUGGAGCCCACCCUGCCAUCUGUCUCAUUAACCUGGCUUAGCAGCAUACAAAACUAGACCGUGUGCUCGUGGGCCUGUGUAUGAAAACAUAAAGGAGAGAUGCUAAAGAAGAAAAACAGCGGGGAAGACCAAAAAGCAAAAGGUUAAGGAAGAGAGAAAGCCUGGAAAAUGGGCACUCAUCCUGUGUGCACAAUUUAAGAUGAAGGUGAACUGUUUUGUGGGGUGGCCAACAUGAGGUUGUAGUUUGUGUCAGUGAUGCACAGUGAGGUUUAAUGGAGGAGGAGGAAGCAGGCAAGACAUCUCUGAGAGAGGUUAGGU